AAUAGAUACCCUGGUAGUCCACGCCGUAAACUAUGAUUACUCGAUGUCGGCGAUAUACUGUCGGUGUCCAAGCGAAAGUGAUAAGUAAUCCACCUGGGGAGUACGAUCGCAAGGUUGAAACUCAAAGGAAUUGACGGGGGGCCCGCACAAGCGGUGGAGCAUGUGGUUUAAUUCGAUGAUACGCGAGGAACCUUACCUGGGCUUGAAUGCAUUAUGACCGUCCCGGAAACGGGACUUUCUUCGGACAGAAUGCAAGGUGCUGCAUGGUUGUCGUCAGCUCGUGCUGUGAGGUGUCGGGUUAAGUCCCAUAACGAGCGCAACCCCUAUUCUUAGUUGCCAGCGGGUAAUGCCGGGGACUCUAAGAAAACUGCCCGCGUAAGCGGUGAGGAAGGUGGGGAUGACGUCAAAUCAUCACGGCCCUUACGUCCAGGGCUACACACGUGCUACAAUGGUCAGUACAAAGGGCAGCUACCUGGUGGCAGGAUGCUAAUCUCGAAAACUGAUCUCAGUUCGGAUCGAAGUCUGCAACUCG
rnacentral:rRNA from 1 species